CAGAGAAUAGUUUAUUAAAAAUAUAAAUUUUGGAGGUUUAAGAUAGGAGUAUAUCUUUUCUCUGA
rnacentral:tRNA from 1 species